GUUUGCUGUUUUCUUGGACGUUUCCUCCCUAAACUCGGCGGUGCCCUCGGGCACCGCCUUCCUUUUCCGGAGG
rnacentral:sRNA from 1 species